rnacentral:tRNA from 1 species
AAAACUUUAAGUUAAAAAAACUGUUAACCUUCAAAGAUAAAAAUAUAAGAUAAAUCUUUUAAGUUUUA